rnacentral:rRNA from 1 species
CAAUAGCGUAUAUUAAAGUUGUUGCAGUUAAGUAGCUCGUAGUUGGAUUUGUGGCGUACGGUGUGUUCCGGGCACUUGUUGUCUGAGUAACCUGCUGUUGCCAUCCUUGGGUGGAACCUGUGUGGCAUUAGGUUGUCGUGCAGGGGAUGCCCAUCAUUUACUGUGAAAAAAUUAGAGUGUUCAAAGCAGGCUUAUGCCGUUGAAUAUAUUAGCAUGGAAUAAUGAGAUAGGACUUUUUUGCUAUUUUGUUGGUUUGCGCAAAGAGGUAAUGAUUAAUAGGGACAGUUGGGGGUAUUCGUAUUCCAUUGUCAGAGGUGAAAUUCUUGGAUUUUUGGAAGACGAACUACUGCGAAAGCAUUUACCAAGGAUGUUUUCAUUAA